rnacentral:rRNA from 2 species
UCGACCUCGAAUCAGGUAGGGUUACCCGCUGAACUUAAGCAUAUCAAUA